AGAGAAAAGAGGAACAGGAUACUGAUUUAGGUCAUAGGCUCCUUUGAAAAUCUGAUGAAAGCGAUGGACCCUCUCUCCAGAAAAAAACAUAUGUGUAUAUACACACCCGAUUUUAUUUAUAACAUCAGGAUAUUCACGAAAAUCCUGAGGCCAAGGCUAAGGGGGUUCGUGGACCCCUGGGUAAGAAGCCUUUACUUAGGGUACAUGAAAUACUUUUGCAUCCAUGAACCAUUUUAUCUGAACGAAACUCUGAAGGUAGAGCAGAUGCCAGCACUGGACAGACGAGGAGACCUAGGUACAGAGGAGGGGUGACUUGCCCCCACAUCUGCUAAGAGGCAGUGUGGGGCUAAAGCUUAGAGCUCCUACCGCCAAGGCCUUGUUCCAUUACCCACUGGAAAUUUGGAACCUGCUGUUAGGAAGACAGACUUUUUAUUUUUUUAACUUUUUGGUAGUUAUCAGGGCUUUUAGAAAGGGGAAACAUUAGAUUGUACUUCUUCUUUAUCCUUUGAAUGAGUCAAUAGCACAUUUUCUAGCUCUUUCUUCCUUUACACUCAAAAUAGAAGGUAGGGAAAGUUGAGUGGAUUUGAGAUCCAGUGAGGAACUACCACAUGAUGAGAGAUAAUUAUUAAUAACAACUACAUAUAUUACAGCUGCUGCAUCUUCCCCUUUGUCAGAAAAACCUACUCUCAUGGGGUCCAUUUAUGAUUGGAUGAGAAGUAUUAGAGGGAGCAGAGUUCACAGAAGUCCCACAGUGCAGUCUGGAUGUGCUGACUUCGGGGCAGUCUCCUACCCAAUGCACGGAGCAGGCGACAUUCCAGACACUUGCCAGUCUGAACACUCUCUUUGUCGAGCAGGCCAUCCAUCUCCUUCAGGCUUUGAUAAUGGAACAAUGUACGCCGGUAACUGACCAUUGACCCAUUCAGCAAGAAAGUAUAAAACAUCUGCCUCAUCUCCAGCACUUCAUGGCUCUGUUGGAAGUAACAGAGGGCAUUCAAGAGCAUGCCAAGAGACCAUGCAGAAACUGCUCCGAAACAAGAAGGAAGCACAUGGCCUAAUGGGCACAGAGACUUGAGGUUCACUUAAGAAACAUUGACUGAGGAGCUGCUAUGGGCCAGGCAUGGUGGCUUCUUGACAAAUUAUUAAAUACUUCUUUGGUUGAAUGACACAUUUUCCUCUUCAGUGUUUCCAGUCUGUCCACCACUGAGAGGUGAGGCAGGACUAAGUUGGUGAUCAGUUUCCGUGACUAACAGUUACACCGUACUUUUGAGGUCUCUGGGUCUAUAUAAAGACUGCUGAAUCUCGCUUUGGGAAACAAAUAUGCAUAGAUACAUGUCAAAGCCUUAAACUUUGGUAAACCCAUUGACUCGAUAAUUUUGUCUCAAGAAUUUAUCCUAAGGAAGUAGUUGUGGAUGUAUCCAAAGUUUUAGCUGCAAGGAUGUCUAGCUCAGCUUUGUUUAUAAUAAUGAAAUUUGGAAACUACUUCAAUGCCCAGCAAUAGAGGGUUGGUUAAAUAACGUGAUAAAUCCGUAUAGUGGGAUACUAUAAUAUCUUUUAGAGUAGUGCUGAAGAAGAACAUUUUGUGACAUGGGAAAAUGUGGACAAUAUGCUGUUAAGAAGAAAAAGAUUAAAAAACGAUAUGCAUAGGAUUGUAUUGUCAUUAAAGAAUGUAUAUUUAUGCAUAGGAAAAAGACUAAAUUAUGCUGCAAAAUAUUAACAGUUCUCUUUGGUUGGUGAGAUUAUGAGUGAAGUUAUCUGAUUGUUGAAUGUUUACAAUAAUCACAUUUCUUUUGUGGCAAAAAAAUACUACUUAAAAAAAACUGCAUAGAGGGGCCAGCCCCCUGGCGUAGCGGUUAAGUCUGCGCGCUCCACUUAGGUGGCCCAGGUUCGCGGGUUUGGAUCCUGGGUGCAGACCUAUACCACCCGUCAGCCACGCGGUGGUGGUGACCCACGUAUAAAGUCAAAGAAGAUUGGCACAGAUGUUAGCUCAGGGCUAAUCUCGCUCAGCCAAAAAAAGAAAAAAAAAAAAACUGCAUAGAAAUAUAUUAAAUGAGAAUCCCCUUUUAGAUGGAAGCUCAAAUAAAUGGGUGGUUCUGCAGUAACCCUCCAGCAGCUCAAUUUGAUUGUAACUCAAGCGGUGAUACAUAUGUAGAGGGAAGAUGUUUGACCUUGGCGGCCUCUAUAUCCUCUUUUUUUCGAGGAAGAUUGGCCCUGAGCUAACAUCUGUUGCUGAUCUCCCUCCUUUUUUCCCUUUUUCUCCCCAAAGCGCCCAAGAUAGUUGUAUGUCAUAGUGGCACAUCUUUUUAGUUGCUCAUUUCUAUGUGGGACGCCACCUCAGCAUGGCUUGAUGAGUGGUGCGUAGGUCUGCACCCAGGAUCUGAACCGACAAACCCUAAACCGACAAGGCCACUGAAGUGGAGUGUGCGAAGUUAACCGCUACGCCACGGGGCUGGCCCCCUCUAUAUCUUCCAAAAUCCAGAG